UCCGGUUUGUCACCGGCAGUCACCUUAGAGUGCCCAACUGAAUGCUGGCAACUAAGAUCAAGGGUUGCGCUCGUUGCGGGACUUAACCCAACAUCUCACGACACGAGCUGACGACAACCAUGCACCACCUGUGCGGGCUCCGUGGAGCGCCGGCUUUCACCGGCUUUGCCCUGCAUGUCAAACCCAGGUAAGGUUCUUCGCGUUGCCUCGAAUUAAACCACACGCUCCGCUGCUUGUGCGGGCCCCCGCCUAUUCCUUUGAGUUUUAACCUUGCGGCCGUAGUCCCCAGGCGGUGAACUUAAUGCGUUAGCUGCGGCACUGAUCGGGUCAAUCCGAACAACACCUAGUUCACAACGUUUAGGGCGUGGACUAC
rnacentral:misc_RNA from 1 species